GAUGAAGAACGUAGCGAAAUGCGAUAAGUAAUGUGAAUUGCAGAAUUCAGUUAAUCAUCGAAUCUUUGAACGCACAUUGCGCCCGCCAGCAUUCUGGCGGGCAUGCCUGUUCGAGCGUCAUUUCAACCCUCGAGCCCCCCCGGGGGCCUCGGUGUUGGGGGACGGCACACCAGCCGCCCCCGAAAUGCAGUGGCGACCCCGCCGCAGCCUCCCCUGCGUAGUAGCACACACCUCGCACCGGAGCGCGGAGGCGGUCACGCCGUAAAACGCCCAACUUUCUUAGAGUUGACCUCGGAUCAGGUAGGAAUACCCGCUGAACUUAAGCAUAUCAAUAAGCGGAGGA
rnacentral:misc_RNA from 1 species